AAGGCGGACGGGUGNCCUUUGAGNUAGGAAUCUGCCUGGUAGUGGGGGACAACGUUUCNAAAGGAACGCUAAUACCGCAUACGUCCUACGGGAGAAAGCAGGGGACCUUCGGGCCUUGCGCUAUCAGAUGAGCCUAGGUCGGAUUAGCUAGUUGGUGAGGUAAUGGCUCACCAAGGCGACGAUCCGUAACUGGUCUGAGAGGAUGAUCAGUCACACUGGAACUGAGACACGGUCCAGACUCCUACGGGAGGCAGCAGUGGGGAAUAUUGGACAAUGGGCGAAAGCCUGAUCCAGCCAUGCCGCGUGUGUGAAGAAGGUCUUCGGAUUGUAAAGCACUUUAAGUUGGGAGGAAGGGCAUUAACCUAAUACGUUAGUGUUUUGACGUUACCGACAGAAUAAGCACCGGCUAACUCUGUGCCAGCAGCCGCGGUAAUACAGAGGGUGCAAGCGUUAAUCGGAAUUACUGGGCGUAAAGCGCGCGUAGGUGGUUUGUUAAGUUGGAUGUGAAAGCCCCGGGCUCAACCUGGGAACUGCNUUCAAAANUGACAAGCUANAGUAUGGUANAGGGUGGUGGAAUUUCCUGUGUAGCGGGUGAAA
rnacentral:rRNA from 1 species